CCUACGGGGGGCAGCAGUGAGGAAUAUUGGUCAAUGGGCGGAAGCCUGAACCAGCCAAGUCGCGUGAGGGAUUAAGGCCCUAUGGGUCGUAAACCUCUUUUGUCAGGGAGCAAGGUCGUCCACGUGUGGGCGUAUGUAUAGUACCUGAAGAAAAAGCAUCGGCUAACUCCGUGCCAGCAGCCGCGGUAAUACGGAGGAUGCGAGCGUUAUCCGGAUUUAUUGGGUUUAAAGGGUGCGUAGGUUGUUUUUUAAGUCAGCGGUGAAAGUUUGUGGCUCAACCAUAAAAUUGCCGUUGAAACUGGAAGACUUGAGUGUGUUUGAGGUAGGCGGAAUGCGUGGUGUAGCGGUGAAAUGCAUAGAUAUCACGCAGAACUCCGAUUGCGAAGGCAGCUUACUAAGCCAUAACUGACACUGAAGCACGAAAGCGUGGGGAUCAAACAGGAUUAGAUACCCCAGUAGUC
rnacentral:rRNA from 1 species